AUGCUACGUAACUCAAGACUCACACCCCCCAACUUUUACAAGAGAUUCUUCCUUCAAAAAACUGGAACCAUGAAAACAAACCCCGGGGUUCUCCUUCGGGCGCGCGGCCGCCAGGUGGCAGUGGUGUCUGGAUCCCCGGCUCCGCCUCGGCCAAAGCCUGCGGCGUGGGCGGCGGCAGCGCGGAGGCGAGCGCCGGGGCCGCGGGUCCUGCCGUCGGGGUUCCCCGCAGGUUCAGGAGGAAGCUGGGCCUCCGCUGGGGCGAGUCCUUUAUUCGACGUCCGGCGGCGCGUCGGUGGCGGCAGGAUGCGCCCUCCCAGCCGCGACGGGGGCCGCUGGGUCCCGCCCCGGGGGUCGGGGGUCGGGGGGGCCGCCCCGGGCCAGAAUGUGCCCUCCCCGCGGGACGCCUGCCCCGCCCCGCCCCGCCCCGCCGCGGGCCCCCGGGUCCCCGUGCAGUCGGGCUGCGGGGCCGCUCGGGGCCGCUCAGGGCCCGGCCUCGGCAGCGGGGAGGCACGAGGACCCACCCCGCGGCCCCCCUCACGCCGAGGCCGCCUCCCCCUGCGGGUCGGACGGAGCCAAGCUUUCCGGGGACCGCGGCAGCUCGGGUCACCGGGCGAAUCCCCGGCGGCGGCCGCGUUCCCUGCGCUCCCGGGACGCCCGGCCCUUCGCUCGGCAGCGGGGGUCCCGCCAACCCGCCGACCCACUGCGAGCCCGGGCUCAUGGAUGACCGCCGGACCUGCUGGGGGAAGGCGCCGGGCCUGGGUGUGCAUCCGUGCCCCAAACCACAGAGCCGCCGACGUCCGUCGCGGGCUCCGACGCCUCGUCCUCGCCAGCGGCCAGCCACCGGCUCCCCGCCCGCCCUCCCUUCCGCCCGCCUUCCCGCCUUCCCGCCUUCCCGCCUUCCCGCCUCCGGGGGCCCCGCCCCGCCCCGCCCCGCGCAGCCGCAGACGGGAGCAGUGCGCGGUCCCGGCGCCCCCCGCGUCACGUGGCCGUGGCCGUGGCCGUGGCCCGCCCGCCGCUGGCCGCCCGGAGCAUGCUGGGUAA
rnacentral:lncRNA from 1 species